CCUGGCUCAGAUUGAACGCUGGCGGCAGGCCUAACACAUGCAAGUCGAGCGGUAGAGAGAAGCUUGCUUCUCUUGAGAGCGGCGGACGGGUGAGUAAUGCCUAGGAAUCUGCCUGGUAGUGGGGGAUAACGUUCGGAAACGGACGCUAAUACCGCAUACGUCCUACGGGAGAAAGCAGGGGACCUUCGGGCCUUGCGCUAUCAGAUGAGCCUAGGUCGGAUUAGCUAGUUGGUGGGGUAAUGGCUCACCAAGGCGACGAUCCGUAACUGGUCUGAGAGGAUGAUCAGUCACACUGGAACUGAGACACGGUCCAGACUCCUACGG
rnacentral:rRNA from 1 species